ensembl:snoRNA
CUGCACCAAUGAUAGACCUUGAACAAUUUCUGAUUCUUCUUCUGGUUUGCACUAAGAUGCAAACUAGGAUACUUCCUAUGUUUUUUGUCUGUCUUUGUGGCAAUCUAUAUGGUAGGAAAGUUGGGU